AAUCGCGGAUCAGAAUGCCGCGGUGAAUACGUUCCCGGGUCUUGUACACACCGCCCGUCACACCAUGGGAGUCGGAAAUGCCCGAAGCCUGUAGUCUAACCGCAAGGAGGACGCAGUCGAAGGUGGGAUUGAUGACUGGGGUGAAGUCGUAACAAGGUACC
rnacentral:rRNA from 1 species